AAAAACGACAGAGGUCCGAAAAUUCAUAAGAACUGAAAAAUGGUCAACUGGAUCCCAUUAAGUAUUGUCAGUUUGUCACUACUGAAGUUCUGUCCCUUGGAAGUUUCGACGAUUAUAGCCCUCGGUUUUUUUCUUCAGUUACGGUUGUAUCAGUGAUGCACGGAUUAAGGAUGCUGAUAGUGGGCGUAGAAGAAAGAGAGAGAAAAGAGAGACAUCGGUGAAGAGAGUGGUUGGGACAAAAGUUUCGCUGCAGAGAUAGAGAGAGAGAUUGGUACAAAGCUUUCGCAUUAUUGGUGGUUUGAGGGGUUUUUGUAUCAUGAUGCUGUUACCAUUUAAUUUGUUCGGGUAGUAAACUCAGAUUAGAUUAAAUUGAUCUGCCUAUAUGAGCAUCGUUAUCAUAGCAUUGUAGUAUGGCUCCUAGAUUUCUGGUAAUAAGUGGAAGAAGGAUAAACAUGCAAGUGGAAGAAGGAAAACUGAGUCCAGGACCUCAGGAUGUUGCCAAGUUCAUGCUUCAUGUAGGGGAGUGGUCUGAUUUUUAUCUAUUAUAAUCGAAUAAAUUUUUAUAAGUCGCCUUUUGAGCUAGAGCUGUUUGCUUGAUAACUGUUAUUUCAUUUUCCUUAAACCCUUUUUCAGUAGUUAAAUAGUUUUGAAGUAUGCACAACCCAAGUGAAUUAGGAUGGUGUUAUAGUCUGGCAUUAUCAUGUAAGGAAAAGGCCAACCACUUAAUGAGCAUAUACAUUUGAUUAUUACGAAAAUAUACGCUCCUGAUUUUUUUUUUAUACCAGAUGUCUUCCAUUUCCUUCUAUCUUCUUUGGUAGCGUGACUCUGGCUCAAGUUUUUGACUAUGUGUGUGUGGCACGUGUAUGUCUUGGAAACCAUCCGGCCACAAGCGUGAGCCUGUCCCAAAUCGAGACAGAAGCCUAUUAGUAAGUGGUCGUGUGAUGUAUCAUAAGUGAAUAGGAAACAGAGAGAAGUAAGACAUUAAUUUGAGGUGGAGUCUUUUCCCUGCAAAAUGGCUGUGGAUUUGUGGAGUUGGUGGUGGCACCGGUCCCAAGCCAAGGUGGCUGCGGGUUGGUGCAGUGGUGGCAUUGCAAAUGGGCCGUCAUUUUAUGCUUUGUUGAAGUUGGAUCUGCAUUUUGUGUGUCACAAUUUCUGGGUUCAAUGAGUUGAGAAAAUUAGGGGUUUUAGGAAUUUUGUGUUUCGUUGGGUUUAUACAUAUAGUGGUUAAAAGAAGCAUGCUUUGAUUCUUGCUCUUAUACUGGAAUUGACUACCAUAAAAAUGGCCUGUUCUGGGCAAAGUAGGGCUUUAUUCAUUCUCCUUUCGAUACAUUGCGAUUUGCAACUUCACUUUUCCUUCUUUUUAGUUUUUUAACGGGAUUUAGAUUUGUCUCCCAAAUGCAUUAGUUUGCUACUGUGGAAGAGUUUUCAUUAAGUAAGGAAAUGUCAGUGCUUAGAGAGAUAUAUUUCAAUGCCUGCAUCCAUGUAUUAAAGUAGUCCUAGCAACCAUGUGGCAGUUGGACAGUUCAUAAACAAAAAGUACAACCAUAAGGCUUCAGGAACUGGAGUGCUUCCAGAAAAGUAGAUAGUUCUUAUGCUUUGCAGACAUUUGUAUGACAUGAACAAACAGAAAACCUAGAUCAUUCAUGUAGUUACGGAAAGGAAUCAUAAAAUAAAUAAAGCAUGGUGAAGAUUAAAAAUCAAAUACUUCAAGGAAUUCACAAAGUCCAAACGGAGAACACAAAUUUGAUAUAAUUAGUUAACUAAAAGUUAACUAUUUUGAUGAGUUAUAUUUUUUUUUCUUUGCCGUUCUUUUUUGUAUUUUUUAUUUUCUUUUUUUUUAUCUUUUUAGUACGAAAUCUGAAGCAAUGACAAUUGAAGAAUCAUUAAGAUAUUAAUUUUAGGUGUGUGUGGAUUAAUAUUGUUUACUUGCUGUAUUGUUUUGUCUGAAAUUCUAUAGAUGCACUAUAAUUAGGUCUGCAUCAAUUUGGUUUUCAUAUCGAUUAGUGAUUAAUUAUAUAUGAAGAAAUUGUGUUAGUUUGUUGGUCGAUUGAAUCGCGUUGGUGAAUACUAGAGAUGAUAUAGGAGAUAAUGAAUGUUGUAGGAUGGUAAAGGUGCUAAGUUUGUGAAGGAAGGUGGUAUCUUUGGCAAGCCCUGUUCUGGUUUUACUGAUAAAGGUAAUAUGCAUUUCAUUUGACAUCUUGGGACUCAUUUGCAGGGUCCAUGAGGAUCCAAUUACGAGUUUUUGCUUCACGUAUGGUUAUCAGCAUAGCCUAGAAGAGGUAAGUGAUUCUCAUUCUGAGUAAAUAAGGCGGCAUUACGGGUGCUAAGCCAACAUUUUGGGAGGGAUUUUUGUUGUUAUACAUUGAAGUGAGUGGUCAGGCACUGGAAAGGAGUUGGAAAGAGGGAGUUUGUGGCUGUCAAAGAAGUUAAAUGGGAUAUUGGGAAUCUGCAGAUGAGAUAAUGUUCAGCUUUUGGUGGGGUAGUAGUUGGUUGUCAUAGUGAUCAUUGUAGGAAGGGAAAGGUGGAGAGUUGCUGUAUCACUCUACUUUGAUGAUAAGCUCUAGCUAGCUAAAAAGAAAUAUAGAGGUCCAACUUCUCUUACAAACAUACAUUGUUUGUGUUUAUGCUAGGCUGGUUUAAAUAUGGUUGUCCUUCUGUUGGUCUUUCAUAAACUUUCACUACAUUCAUUCUUACAUAUCAAUCUGAGAUUUCAAAUCAGCAAUUUGCAUAUGCAUUCAAUCUUUCACUCUACUUUCAUCUUAAUAUGAUUAUUCUAAGUUCCAAAUGACAGAGAUGCAGCAGACAUGACAGAACCAACUGAAGACACGUAAGAGGAGUUAAUGUAAAAUAGUUGGUUCUAACUACAAACAUAGAACAUUUUUCCUAAAUCUAACCAUUUUUUGCAAUAUGUACAUAAAAACCUCCUUUGGUUAGCAUAUCUAAUUUUUUGAAAUCUGUGCAUAUCCGGUUAGCAUACCAAAUUCUGGAAUCUGUAAAAGAUAAUUUUGUUACUUAUAUAAUAUUAUGAACGUUUGUAAUUGCUGUAGUUUGAAAUAUAACGUUCCCGCAUCGCGCACGGGUCAAUGUCUAGUGUUUACUAUUGUUUUGUAUGAUGAUUUGAUUAUAUACCACUUGGUUAUAGAUAAACUUGUUUUCUUCCUACCUUCUGUUUUUGGCUUCUGCACUGAAAAUUCUGCAGUGUUUUUGUCUCCACUGGUUUAGUAAUAGCUUGGUUCUGGUACAUAUGGUAUCUUUUUCUUUGUUUUCAUCCCCUUAUUAGAAAUGCAUGUUACCCCAGCCAUUUAUUGUCUCUGCAAAUGACACAUUUAUUCAUUUGAAGCCCUACACACACUGUGGUCCUCUUAAUCUGUAUAUCUGCUCAAUAUUUCAAGACUCCAAUAUGGUUUCUCUCAGGAAUCAUAAGUAAGCUGGGCCACUGGAAAAGCCUGACCAAUGUUUGUCAUGUUAUUAUAAUAGAUCUACUGCAUGUUAAAUGCUUAUUUUGAAUUGUGAUGCCAAGUCCAAAUGGAGGGAGAAAUCUGCUGUCUUUCUUUGUGCUAGAAAUCUCAAGAGUUUGCUAAUGUAUGCUCUCAUUUUCAUUGUUGCAAGAUACGACACUUGAUAGACAAAGAUUUAGCUUUGUAAUUUCUGGGUUUUGUUGGCAAAUGUAGUUUGUCACAUAUUCUGGAAAUCUCCAAAACAAAAGUGUCUAUGUCUUCUCAGAUUUAAUUGGUCGUGUAAUUUAAUGCAGGGGGACCAACCAAUUCUUCCACACCGUUACCAUGGGCAGCUAGGUUAAAAAUUGCUCAGGGGAGCGCAAGAGGUUUGACGUACAUACACGAACACAGCCCUAGAAAGUAUGUUCCCGGCAACAUUAAAUCGACAAAAAUCCUUCUCAAUGAGGACCUCCAGCCUUACGUAUCUGGUUUCGGAUUGGCACGUCUUAUCUUGGGGUCCUCAAAGUUUCUUCUUCAGCUUCCAGGAAAAAGAGCUCCAGCCAAACCAACGCAACCUCUUGUUUUACUGUUUCAACUCACUCAACCAUUUACUUGGCACCUGAGGCUCGAAUUUCUGGCAGCAAGUUUACUCAGAAAUGUGAUGUGUACUGUUUUGGGAUAGUGCUCAUGGAGAUUUUAAGCGGUAAGCUACCAGAUGAGGGGCCCGAAAAUGGUGGGAAGGGACUAGAGAGUCUGGUGAGGAAGACAUUUCGAGAAGAACCCUGAACUUCUGCAAGAGGUUUAUGCAAAGAAGCAAGUUGUUGAUGCCUUUCACAUUGCUCGUAAUUGCACUGAACUCGACCCAGAACUGCGUCCUAGGAUGAAAACAGUUUUGGACAGUCUUGAUCGCAUCAAAUUGCAGCUUUAGGAAAAAGAAAUGAAAAAUUUAUCAAGCUGACUGCUCCAUCUAGAAUUGGUUAUGGACUUAUGGUGAUGGUCUUGGAUGGGUGCUUCACUGUAUCUUUACGUUGACUGAACUGUGGUAGUAAGGAAAUCCAUUACCUUAAUGGGUUGGAUGUAUAAUAUGUUGACUGCUUCAUUGUACCUUUUGAGGAUCUGUUCAACAAAUCAACGGUGAUUUGGAUGCA